AUGCACGCUGGCGGCGUGCCUAAUACCUGCAAGUCGAGCGAACAGACGAGGAGCUUGCUCCUCUGACGUUAGCGGCGGACGGGUGAGUAACACGUGGAUAACCUACCUAUAAGACUGGGAUAACUUCGGGAAACCGGAGCUAAUACCGGAUAAUAUAUUGAACCGCAUGGUUCAAUAGUGAAAGACGGUUUUGCUGUCACUUAUAGAUGGAUCCGCGCCGCAUUAGCUAGUUGGUAAGGUAACGGCUUACCAAGGCAACGAUGCGUAGCCGACCUGAGAGGGUGAUCGGCCACACUGGAACUGAGACACGGUCCAGACUCCUACGGGAGGCAGCAGUAGGGAAUCUUCCGCAAUGGGCGAAAGCUUGACGGAGCAACGCCGCGCGAGUGAUGAAGGUCUUCGGAUCGUAAAACUCUGUUAUUAGGGAAGAACAAAUGUGUAAGUAACUAUGCACGUCUUGACGGUACCUAAUCAGAAAGCCACGGCUAACUACGUG
rnacentral:rRNA from 1 species